GUGCCAGCCGCCGCGGUAAUACCGGCAGCCCAAGUGAUGGCCGAUCUUAUUGGGCCUAAAGCGUCCGUAGCUGGCCGCGCAAGUCCAUCGGAAAAUCCACCCACUCAACGGGCGGCCGUCCGGCGGAACCUGUGUGGCUUGGGACCGGAAGGCGCGACGAGUACGUCCGGGGUAGGAGUGAAAUCCCGUAAUCCUGGACGGACCGCCGAUGGCGAAAGCACGUCGCGAAGACGGAUCCGACAGUGAGGGACGAAAGCUAGGGUCUCGAACCGGAUUAGAAACCCCGGUAGUCC
rnacentral:rRNA from 1 species